ACUCCUACGGGAGGCAGCAGUGGGGAAUCUUCGGCAAUGGGCGCAAGCCUGACCGAGCCAUGCCGCGUGAGUGAUGAAGGUUUUCGGAUUGUAAAAGCUCUUUUCGUCGGGGACGAUAAUGACGGUACCCGAAGAAGAAGCCCCGGCUAACUUCGUGCCAGCAGCCGCGGUAAUACGAAGGGGCUAGCGUUGUUCGGAAUUACUGGGCGUAAAGCGCGCGUAGGCGGAUCGUUAAGUCAGGGGUGAAAUCCCGGGGCUCAACCCCGGAAC
rnacentral:rRNA from 1 species